GAGAAAGAGAGGGUGUUAUGAAGCUGCUGUGUGAUGGUCAACAUCUAUGCUCCAGUAAGACACUUUGGGUAAGUGUUCAAUCCUAAUUUUGACUGAGUCUGUGGUGGGAGGGGAUGUCACCUUUGUAGGGCAACAAGUUGUUCCACAGACGAGACGUUCACUGUCGGCACACAGCUGUGGCAGCGGGUGUAGAUGGCAUCUCUUCUGACUGAGCUGGAGGUGCUGACGAUCACGUUCUCGCUCCUGGUUUUUGCCCUCUUCACACUUACUGGGAUGCUCAGUGAAGAAUGUGCACGUUUGAAUGGAUCAAAGACUCAACCAGACAGCGAGGAGCUGAUUGUGUGACUUGUGUGAAACUUCAGCAGCAACAGUGGCCUCUUUUCUUCCUGAGCGGUGCCUAAUGAGGACAUUGUGCUAGCGUGUGACCGUGUGCUAUCAGUUUCCAGAACAAAGGCUAAAUGGUGGCCUCUGAACAUAUCUAAAAUAACUGCUGUGAUUCUUCCAGUGGUAAGUCUCUACACUUCCUUCGUUUUCCUUCCAUUUUUCCUGUUGUACUUCGCUGUUUGAUUUGCUCAAAAACAAAAUGUGUGUGAAACAAAGGACACCUCUCGUGGAAAUCAACAGCUCUGACAAGACUUUUCAAAAUGUAGGUCAGAAAGGAAAGGUGUGCUGGCAGGACUAUAGUGAGCCCUCAAAUUCAGUGAGACGUCUGAAUCAUUCCUGUCAGGGAUCACAGGGUGGAGCUUGUGUGAAUCAACAGAUGUACAGAAUCAAGAAAUACGUGUGAAUCGCAGGCCAUCUGUGUUUGGCCAUUAUUAUUCCUUCAGCCUCUCACUGAUAAUAUAAAACUGCAUGGUACAACAUAAAUGAUACCUGUUAUCAUGUGAAUCCUGAAAACCAGGAGAUGGUUCACAUAUUGAUCCAACUCCUGACCUCCUUCUACUGCAGUUCUGCACGAUUUCAUACACCUAUUCAUAGGCUGUUAGGUUUAGGGUUUAGAAAAAAGAGUUUGUGAAACUCAUGAAGCUCUGUUGAAAAUGAUAAGUGAAUUAAUUGAAGUAAAAAUGUCUGAGCUCCCCUGAAAGUUUUCAUAAACUUCUCUGCCUCUACUCUUUUUUGAUUUUAACACUGACUGUUUUAUGUAUGUGAGCCCUGCUUUUCCGUUUCAGUAAGAGUCACUCAUACUAAGAUACUAUAGUAUUAACUCUGUGAAACACUGCAUCUGAUACUGCAAAGGCCAUGUGAACUAGAUAGUUUAUUCAAAUGUUUCAGGCUGUAAGUAAUCAUAAAAAGAGUAUGAUAUGAAUGUAUGAAGAGAUUCCGCAACGUAAAUGGUUUAAAGCUCCACCCAGACCAAGAAAAAAUGUUCUGCUGGAGAACAUUUAAAAACAGAGACAAAUUUUGACUAUGAAGAGCACUGCAGGCUGAUUGAGGAGGAUGAGUCAUUAUAAACAACUGGCAGGACUAACAGAUACAAAUAAAGGUUAUACUGCCCCCUAGUGGAAGCAGCAGGCUACUGCUCUCCAGCAUAACAGUAUUGCUAUGAAAGUACUUCCUUUAAUGUAUGUAAUGUUAAACUGAGGCUUUUGGUUUGAUAAAAAUUAAAAACAAAUUCACAUUUAAGUUCUCAAUAACAUGCUGCUUCACCUAGCUUUCUCACCUGUGGCGGUCAAAUAGUGAAUGGACGAAGUGACAAGAAAAGGCUGAUUCAGUCUGAUUAUCAGGCUACAUGUAAUCUUAACGUGGGGAUGUUCGAGAAUGUGACGACGUGCUUUGUGU